rnacentral:rRNA from 1 species
GAACGUUGGCGGCGUGGAUUAGGCAUGCAAGUCGGGGGAAUCCCAGCAAUGGGGGAACCGGCGUAAGGGGCAGUAAGGCAUGGGUACCUACCUUUGGGUUCGGGAUAGCCAUCAGAGAUGGUGGGUAAUACCGGAUGACGUCGUGAGACCAAAGAUUUAUCGCCCGAAGAGGGGCCCAUGUGAUAUUAGCUAGUUGGUGAGGUAACGGCUCACCAAGGCGAAGAUGUCUAGCGGGUGUGAGAGCACGACCCGCGCCACUCGCACUGAGACACUGGCGAGACACCUACGGGUGGCUGCAGUCGAGGAUCUUCGGCAAUGAGCGCAAGCUUGACCGAGCGACGCCGCGUGAGCGAUGAAGGCCUUCGGGUUGUAAAGCUCUUUAGUGGGGGAGAAAAGCCCGCAAGGGUGUGAUCUAUCCCAAAAAUAAGCACGGGCUAAGUUCGUGCCAGCAGCCGCCGUAACAC